rnacentral:lncRNA from 9 species
GAGGCUUCUAAAACCAUGUAUUUGAGAUCACUGGAGAUAAUAAAUUAUUUGCUGACAAAAGACAUUUGAGGAGUUAAUGAGAUGGAAACACGAAGACCAGUGUCACUUCCAAGUGAGAGCUGGCGAGGGAGGACGCCCCCUCCUUCCCCACCCCUCCCACCCCACUACUUGGGGCCUUGCUUCUCCUUGAAAUGCGCCCACAGCAGCCCAUCAAGUUGUUCACACCCCGGCAGACCUGGAGGCUGCACUCCAGCUUGGAGGCGUCGUCCCUGAUGAUGUGCAGGCGGGCAUCGAAAUGUGCCAGGGCCCUGGCCAAGUGCUCAGCCGUGAGCUGGCGGCGGUGGCGGGGCUGGCCUUGCCCUCCUCCUCGGCAGUCGGCUCCGGCUCCUCCAGCUCCUCUUGGACCAGUCCGAGCCACGGCUCUGCAGCAGCUCGGCCACCUCUGCCUCCGCCACCUCCCUGAAACCCACCUGGUGCGCCAGCGCCUGGAUGUCCCACCAGAUCUGUGGGAGGGUUUCCACCUGGGGGCCGCUGACUCUGUGCUGGAGGCGCUCGGGCCACGGCCUCCUCCAACCACUGUUCAGCGACGAGGGCGGGACCCCUCCCAGGACACGGAGAGGUACGGGGCGGUGUCAAGGAUGCAGUAGUCCCGCCAGACGUCCAGGGCCGCUCCCGGCUCGCCUGUGCCCCCGGCCCUCGCGGCCAAGAGGCGGAAGACCCUCCGCAGGUGGCAGGCCUUAAAGGUGGCGACCACGUCCUGGGUCAUGGGCUGGAUGAGGGCUGUGGUAUCCUUGGGCAGGGACUCCACGCCCACGUGGUCGGAGAGGUCGUCCAGGUUUCCAGGGCGGCCAGGAGCGCUGUCCGGGACAAGCUGCGCUUUACGCGGGAGCCCGUGCCAGGCAUAGUACCUCUCCACCGCAGGGCGGAAGAAGUGCACGAACCACUCCGGGAAGAGGCUCACCGUGACCCACGCCUUCUUGUGGGCGAGCCAAGCAGGGGCAGGCUGGGCUUGGAGAAGCCCCUGAGGGCGCGCAGGUUCUCCACCGGGUACACCAGCAGCGGCUUCAGCUUCAAGCUACCGGCCACGUUGCUGCCCAGCAGCAGAGUCAGUAGAUCUUGGGGGGCUGUGAACCCAGGGCGCUCCUCCGGGCGGAAGGCACCGUCCCAUCCAGCAGCCGCCUCCAGAAGAGCCGGGUCUCCUCCACGCUGAACACCUGGCGGGCCGUGAAGUCCCCCUCCUGGAUCACCCUGCGCGGCCCACAGUACCUGCACGCGCCCCAGGGGCUGCACGCACCGCCUCGUCGGCCCACCCCAGGGUGCGCAGCCGGAAGCGUACCUUGAACCGGCCCUGGCAGGCCUGAAGGUCUCCGACUCGGCGCCCUCGCCCUGCUGCCGCCUGAGCUCCUCGAACAGGCUGCGGUCUUCUCCUGGACAAGCACCAUGUUGCCCCGCGUGUUGCGCUGGUUCUGGUCCUCGAUCCACACGCUCAGCAGCCGCUCCGUGUUCUCCAUCGCCAGGCGGCGGCUGUGCGUCAGCUUGGUGGCCGCCUGCGGGGUGGCCGCCUGGAAACUCGCUCAGAUCUUGUCCUUGUCACAAAUGGUGGCCACGGUGGAGGUGGAGAGCCCCAGCGCCUUCCCGAUUCUGCUGAGCAUCUCUCCAGCUUCAAAGCACUGUAGCACCUCCAGCUCCACCUGCAGGUUGAUGGCCUUACGUCCUGCUUGGCACCUGGGCGCUGGCAGGCACUCCGCGGCCUCUUCAGGGACGGCUUUGGGCCCACAUCACUCUCUCCAGACGCCGCAAAAGAAUGUUUCUGUUCCUGCCCUGUGUGUUCUGAUUUCAGGGCCGCCCCAGCCCCGACCUGCUGUGAAAUGGGAAGGAAACGGGCAUGGCCAGCUCUGCCAGGUCUCCAGGCGGCUGCUCCUCAGGAGGGGCCUGGGUCAGCACCGGCGGGGGGAGUGUUAGUGUCUGAAGCCCCACCCUGGGGACAAAAGGGUCAGGCACCCAGGCCAAUGAAUCAAUCUGGAGGUUAACACGAGGCCCAGGUCCCCCAGCAUUGCUCGGGCUGGACACUGGCCUGGGACCCUGAGCUGACAUGGGCCUGCCCUCUGGUUCACACAGAUCACCCUGCCGUGGCUUGACCUACAGCCACUCUGACCCCACACACAUCCUCCAGAGCACACCCAAGGCCCGAAACCCAAGUCACUGAAAUGCCACGGGAACGGCCAUUAGAAGCACCUUUCAGGAGUUCCCAUCAUGGCGCAGUGGAAACGAAUUCAACUGGUAUCCAUGACGAUGUCAGUUCGAUCCCUGGCCUCGCUCAGUGAGUUGGCUCAGAUCUGGUGUUGCUGUGGCUGUGGUGUAAGCCAGCAGCUAUGGCUCCGAUUCGACCCCUAGCCUGGGAACCUUCAUGUCCCGAGGGUGUGGUCCUAAAAAGCCCCCCCUCAAAAAAAGAAGUUUCCUUCAGCUGUAGCUGGGUGUGCAGUGCACGGCUGACCCAGCAGGCCUCAGCGGCCCACGCCCUGCACACUCCUAACAAAAGCCCACCCCUGACCUGCUCCUGGGAGGGGACGGCCGGCCCUUGGAAGACUCCGCCUAAGUCUUUGCUUACCUAAGGCCUCGGGUCACAGCGGAUAGUUUCUGCUGACAAUGUGACUUAUGCUGAAGACCUCGAGCCACACAGGAUCAGCCUGACCCCUGGGGGGGAGGUUGAGGCUGAGUCACUGAGGGAAGCCACGGUCCCUACCUAUGUCACGGACCUCGCUUCGGGGGGCCUCCCUGUUGGAGAAGACCCCACGCCUGUCGCUGCUCGUCAAUGCCGGGAACAAAGCAGCGCAGAGGCCCCCACAGGAAAGGACGCCUGGACUCUCGAGGCUGGUACCUCCCAGACGAGGCCCCUUCUCCACGCGGACUUUAACCUGGACCCUUUCACAGUAAUAAACUAUAACCUUGAGCCUAACAGCCUUGUUAAAACCUGGGACUCCUUCCUGCAAAUCCCUGCAACAGUGACAUGCACAGAAGAGCUCAGGACCUCACCCUGGACUCCCCGAGAGCCACGGUAGUCGCCUCCAAGACCAUGAGAGCUCGAGAAGACCAACCUUUGGGAGAUCACCGCAGAUUAAUAAUUGCUCCAGAAAGCCAUCAGAACAAGGCAGGCUUGCUGGACUAGUGGAGGCACGAGACUUGCCUCAAGUUGCUGGGUGGGGCGGGGGAUGAGGCCUGCAUUCAGCUUCAGACCAAGGGCAGGAGUUUGAAGCCCGCCCUUCUGCUGAUUUAAAUAAGCACCAGGACCAGAUACCAAGGAGCUACUACUCGAAGAAAGAGGAAGAGGCUUGGUCUUUUCCGACCCCCAUGACCCUUGGAGGAUAAAACUGUGACCCACUGGAUCCUGGGGCAGAGCUUCCGUGCCUGCCCUCCUGCCUCUCUCCCAAGUGUCCUAUCCUAAUAAAUUGAUUUCUUGCCCAUCACUUUGUCUCUCACUGAAUUCCUUCUGCGUGGAGGCAUAAAGAAUCUGAACCUCAGUGAGUCCAUAUGCCCGGUGAGUGAUCCUCAUUUAAAACUGUGGGUUCAAGACACAAUCUCGGAUUUAGACUGGGUUUGAGUCCCGGCACAUGGGACUGAGUCCCAACCUGGGUUUAGGGUGGGUUCAGCUGCACCUCUAGCCUCUCAGGCUGGGACCUUGAAGGGACCCACAGGGCUGAGAGAAGGUAAAGGCACGCAGUAAAGGAAGUUUUCAUGUAAAUGUGAAUUGUGGUGAACUUGAAACCAUGUGAUUUCAUGGCUGCGUGGACAUAACCACACGUGUCCCCCAGGACCCGUGGAAGCGUCAGGCCUGAGUCCACUCAGUGACCAGCAGGCUGCUGUUCCAACACCCACGCUGCUAUGACGCAAUGUCUGUUUUUAACAGCGUGCAUCAGCUAAGCAUCUGUCCAGCAGCAGGGAACAUACCUCUAAGGAGGCAAAUGCUGGCCACUGUUCAGAAGACAGCCAAUCUCAAAACACUGGCGACGGGCUCAGAAGAGAGUCCGGCACUACAGCCAGGCACCCAGGGAGGACCGGGUGCACCUCACGCUCACGCCUAGGUGAAAACCAGACCUGCGUUAUCAAGGUUUUCCUCAGGGCAGCGGAAUCCAGUCUGCAACUUUUCCAACAUGUGCAGAACCAGCCUCCUCAUGUGCCCCGGGGGACCCCAGCACCACCCGCGGCAGCCCCUUCUCCUAGCCCCUCCUGUGAGUUUCUAAGGCCAAUCACUUACCAUGAGAUAAAGCAACUCCACUCCUCAGCAUGUAACCAAAGAGACUCUGAAAGCAUUUGCCUGCACAGAUAGAGUCACGGAAUUCACACCAGCACUACCCACAGCCAGGAGGACCCAACAACCCAAAUAUCCAUUACCUGGUAAGGAAAUAAACAGAAAGUUGGGGGACCCACGGGACGGAUUAGUAUUUAACCAUCAAAACGAGUGAGAUCCCGACGUCGUACAGCGCGGAUGGCCGCUGAAGACGUCACACUCAGCGAAGGAAGCCGGGUGUAAGAAGCCACAUACGUAUGACUCCGUGUAAUCAAAUGCUCAGAAUGAGAAUGUGGGAUCAGUGGCUGCGCUGCCAAGGGACUGGGGAGGGAAGAACGGGGAGUGACUGCUAACGAGCACGGGGCUUAUCGGGCACAGGACCGUCUUAGACACGCGUGACGGCUGUACAACUUUGCAGAUGGACUAAAAGCCACCAAUUGACAAUGUCUUGAUAUGUAGGUUAUAGCUUGAUAAAGCCAUCUUUUGUUUAAGUGCUAAGGUUUCUGUCUUGAUACAAACAGCCAAGCAGGCAGAAAGAACGGCAUAAACCCGUGUGUGAGGAAAGGCGUAAACACACGCCCACGUGAACAGAUGGCUGGAACCACCGUCCCUCCUGCCCCUCGAAGCCCAGGGUGAAAAUGUCACACAGCAGGAACCACAAAGCCACCCCGGCCAGGCUGACCUGUGCCCCCUCCUCCUGCCUCCACCUGCUCCAGAGCAAGGGGGGCCCCCUUCGUGUGAGCGGCCGUCUCUCUGCUCAACUCUCCAACCAGACCGGACUCCAAGAGGCCGAGGACUUGCCUCUCCCCUUGCCCUCCCGCCAGGGCCCAGCACACGCACGGGCUCAGCGAACCUGAGACGAAGGAGGAAGGGAAACACGGUCCGGUGCACCCUGAGGGGAAAAGCCACACCAACCUCAGGCUCACGCCUCUGGGAGCCUCAGAGGCCAGAAAAGUCUCCAGUCACGUCACGGCUUCCGAGGCCUCCUCCCAGCUAUGAGGACACUGGGGGCGGUGGGGGCAGGCACUCAGGACCCCGGGUCACAGGUUGGACCCCUGCACGGUCCUGCCCUGGCUCCCUUGGCUCACCAGCCUCCUGCGACAUCUCAGCCAGGUCUUCCAACAGCGCCACAGCCUCCUUGCCACUUGCAGGGCCCUGGGAUGCCACCCAGACCCGGAUGUCAGGCGGCAGCACGCCCAGGAAGUGCUCCAGCACCAGCAGCUCCGGCAUCUGCUCCUUGGAGUGCACUUUGGGCCUCAGCCACGGGCGGCACAGCUCCCGAAGCCGGCUCAGGGCCUCCCUAGGACCCACUGCCUCCUCAAAGCGGAAGCUGCAGAGGCGUUGCCAGGGGUCCCUACCAAGCCCAGGCGACAGGGUUCGGGGCCGAGGAUUGGAGAACGGUUUGGGGUCACAGCAGGCGGCCUCAUCCUCCCCCAUCUUGGUGAUCACGAGCUUCUCCUGGUCAAUGGGUGCUGGGCCCGCUGCCAUGGCAAGACCUAGGGAAGCUGGCCUCCCCUGCCCUCACUGGGGCCACAUGCACCCUCUUCCUGAGACACAUACAAACUCGAUCAGGGCCAUGGGCCACCCACACCCCUCCACCCACUCACGCCAUGCAAGACCACUCGCCAUGGGAGAAACUGUCCACAAACCUGGCCAGGUGGCGACCUGGCUGGGGACACCUCCAGCCACACCCUCCUCACCUGUGCCCUCAUGAGGAUGCCUCACACUGGGAAUCUGGUUAGGGGAACAGUGAUGGAGAGCUUCCUGCAGGGAAGCUUUCAGGAACUCAGGUCGACUCGGCCAAGGCAGGAGGACUGCUCCUGGGGACAGGGCAUGGGCACAUCCAGGGUCUCGGUGACCAAGAGGACCUCACCAGCAGCCAAGCAGAGGUGCUGGCAGGAACUAGCAGAAGGUGGGUGUCCAGGGAGGCUCUGAGCACAUGAAGGAUGCAGUACGUGGGGCCUAGCAAGAGGGACGUGGGGGACAGACUGGAAGCCAAGAUGGAAGCUGGGGACAGCUGCAAUGCAGCUGCUUGGGGAUCGCAAGAACUGCUCCAACAAUGCAAGGCCUGUCUUCCCUCAUGGAAGAUUCCUGUGGAGCCUGAGACACCCAGCUCCCCUCAGCUAGUCAAGGUCAACCACGGACAGAGGGAAACGGCCACUCUACAGCGCUAAACAAGAAGGUAAGCUGUGGCCCACCUCACCAAACAUGAUCCCACUAACAUUAAAAUUUUAAAUGAGGAGUUCCCGUCGUGGCGCAGUGGUUAACGAAUCUGACUAGGAACCAUGAGGUUGCGGGUUCGGUCCCUGCCCUUGCUCAGUGGGUUAACGAUCGGGCAUUGCCGUGAGCUGUGGUGUAGGUUGCAGACGCGGCUCGGAUCCUGAGCUGCUGUGGCUCUGGCGUAGGCCGGUGGCUACAGCUCCAAUUUGACCCCUAGCCUGGGAACCUCCAUAUGCCGCUGGAGCGGCCCAAGAAAUAGCAAAAAAAAAAAAAAAAAAAAAAAA